UACGUAGGGGCCUAGCGUUGUCCGGAAUUAUUGGGCGUAAAGAGCUCGUAGGCGGUUCGGCAAGUCGGAUGUGAAAUCUCCACGCUUAACGUGGAGGGGCCAUUCGAAACUGCUGUGACUCGAGUCCGGUAGGGGAGUGUGGAAUUCCCGGUGUAGCGGUGAAAUGCGCAGAUAUCGGGAAGAACACCCGUGGCGAAGGCGGUUCUCUGGGACGGUACUGACGCUGAGACGCGAAAGCGUGGGGAGCAAACAGG
rnacentral:rRNA from 1 species